GGAAAGUAUAUCAUCCUCAUUAGUGCAUGUCGAAUUGCAAUAAAGCUUGAUCGUAUAAACCUCAUUUACAAAACUGAUUAAGACAUUUGAUUCUUAGUUGUUUACAGUGGUUUAAUAUCUUUCUAUUUGAUGCCGCUUAAUAAAAACAAUUGGUAUAACUUUAAAAGUUGUUAGGGAAUAUUGAAACAGUUUACUUUAAAACUUAUAAGCAAUGACUGAAACAUGCUUAAAUGCCGGGCUUAGUAUCAAAGAUAGCCUUAUGAUUUAUUUGUUUGAUAGCUUGAACCCAGAUAUUGUGAAUUUUCUUGCUUUUCGCUUUUAAGACGAUGGGCUUAUCAGUUGUCUGCAUCACAAUAACUUCAUUAUGUAAAUUGGCGUUCUUUAAGGCAUCUGGGGCUUUUAUAAUAGUCAUUCCCUUAAUUUUCACAGACUUGACUUGAUUUUUCCUUCCUUUUUCAAUAAAUGGAUUUGUUUUAGACCAGCACAGCAUUUCACAAUGCGGGUUAAUCCAAAAAUAGCGCCAAUGACUCUUUUUAAACAUUUUGAAACUCUCAC